rnacentral:lncRNA from 1 species
CACGGCGCUCCUGCACUCCCCGGUGUCCCUCAGCUCCGGGAGGGCUGGCACCGCCGGGGCGCCCACCGCGGCCACGCAGCCGCUCGCCUCACCAUCCCCCUGUGCCCGCCACAAGCGGGGAAACUGGCGACAGCGAGCAAAAUAGCCGAUAAGGAGGAAAAUAAGCGAUAAGGAGGAAAAUCGGCGAUAGGCAGCACAAUCGGCCGCAGCCGCGCAGCCACCGUCCCAGCGGGCCCUGAAACCGCGGCGACCCCGCCUCCCGGCCGUGCGCCACCACAGGCGGGGCCGCGCACGCGUGUCACAGCGGGACUAUCUGCGUGCAGAGAUUGAAGCUAAAGCUGACAGGACAACUUCUUUAGCCACCUGGCUUCACUAUCAGAAAAAAAGGACCCUGAAGAUCAGCCCUGACCAUGCUGAGAUUUGGGCAGCACCUGAUCAAGCCCUCGGUGGUGUUCCUGAGGACAGAGCUGAGCUUUGCUCUGGUGAACCGCAGGCCGGUGCUGCCAGGCCGUAUCCUUGCCAUGCUGCUGCUCCCUGGGAAGGGCAGGACAAGCUCAGGACGCUUGGAAGGCCAGUGCUUUCAUACAGAAGUUCAUUAUUCACUUGAAGAACAAGUUCAACAACAUGAAAGCGCCUCUGUCCCUUCCUGCUGCUUCCAAAGAGAGCUUCUGGUGUGAUUAUUCCAAAUAUAUUCGGCCUCUGACCUCAGAGUAAGAUUGACAUGGCUCUUCAUAUUGUCAAGAACCUUCUUGUAUGGCUGUGGGGAAGGUGAGAAGUUAUCAGCAUGUAGUUUCAGCUCUGUCUUUCAGGUAAUAAAGGCUAACAUGCUGCCCUGGUAGUGUUUCA